rnacentral:rRNA from 1 species
CGUAUCACCCAAGACAACUUUACGGAGUUGACGAUUGACGGAGCGAAGCGACGUCAAAGCGUUCAUUAAAGUCGAGUUGGCUUAGGGAUACGUUCGUUGGGUAGGGGAGCGUUCUGUAAGCCUGUGAAGGUGGCCUGUGAGGGUUGCUGGAGGUAUCAGAAGUGCGAAUGCUGACAUAAGUAACGAUAAAGCGGGUGAAAAGCCCGCUCGCCGGAAGACCAAGGGUUCCUGUCCAACGUUAAUCGGGGCAGGGUGAGUCGACCCCUAAGGCGAGGCCGAAAGGCGUAGUCGAUGGGAAACGGGUUAAUAUUCCCGUACUUGGUGUUACUGCGAAGGGGGGACGGAGAAGGCUAUGUUGGCCGGGCGACGGUUGUCCCGGUUUAAGCGUGUAGGUGUGUGUUCCAGGUAAAUCCGGUUCACUUUAACACUGAGGCGUGACGACGAGGCACUACGGUGCUGAAGCAACAAAUGCCCUGCUUCCAGGAAAAGCCUCUAAGCAUCAGGUAACAUCAAAUCGUACCCCAAACCGACACAGGUGGUCAGGUAGAGAAUACCAAGGCGCUUGAGAGAACUCGGGUGAAGGAACUAGGCAAAAUGGUGCCGUAACUUCGGGAGAAGGCACGCUGACACGUAGGUGAAGUGAUUUACUCAUGGAGCUGAAGUCAGUCGAAGAUACCAGCUGGCUGCAACUGUUUAUUAAAAACACAGCACUGUGCAAACACGAAAGUGGACGUAUACGGUGUGACGCCUGCCCGGUGCCGGAAGGUUAAUUGAUGGGGUCAGCGCAAGCGAAGCUCCUGAUCGAAGCCCCGGUAAACGGCGGCCGUAACUAUAACGGUCCUAAGGUAGCGAAAUUCCUUGUCGGGUAAGUUCCGACCUGCACGAAUGGCGUAAUGAUGGCCAGGCUGUCUCCACCCGAGACUCAGUGAAAUUGAACUCGCUGUGAAGAUGCAGUGUACCCGCGGCAAGACGGAAAGACCCCGUGAACCUUUACUAUAGCUUGACACUGAACAUUGAGCCUUGAUGUGUAG